rnacentral:rRNA from 1 species
UGAGUAACCUGCCCUUAACUCUGGGAUAAGCCUGGGAAACUGGGUCUAAUACCGGAUAUGACUCCUCAUCGCAUGGUGGGGGGUGGAAAGCUUUAUUGUGGUUUUGGAUGGACUCGCGGCCUAUCAGCUUGUUGAUGAGGUAAUGGCUCACCAAGGCGACGACGGGUAGCCGGCCUGAGAGGGUGACCGGCCACACUGGGACUGAGACACGGCCCAGACUCCUACGGGAGCAG